rnacentral:lncRNA from 1 species
AUUUCUCUUUCAUUCACUCAAAUGACUUGGAAAAAUCUUUGUAUUGAAAAGAAGACAAAGAGGAAUGCGCACGUUAAGGCUGAUCCUCAUUUUUUGUCACUCUUGCUGGUUUUUGACAGCUGCUUUCGGCCACUCUUGCUGGUUUUUUGUCACCAGAAACUCCUGAAUCUCCACUGCAACUUUCUGACGAUGCUCUCCUCGACGCCGACGACAACACCAAUGCCAC